AGAGAGAGACAUGCGCGCAUAUCAAUAAGCGGAGGAAAAGAAACUAACUAGGAUUCCCUUAGUAACGGCGAGUGAAGCGGGAAGAGCUCAAAUUUGAAAUCUUCAAGGUUUUACCUUGACGAAUUGUAGUUUAAAGAAGUGUUUUCUGUUGGAGUUUUGGUAAAAGUUCUUUGGAAUAGGACAUCAUAGAGGGUGAGAAUCCCGUAUUUGACCAUUAUUUCAGCUUUGUGAUACACUUUCAAAGAGUCGGAUUGUUUGGGAAUGCAGUCCAAAAUGGGUGGUAAAUUUCAUCUAAAGCUAAAUAUUGGCGAGAGACCGAUAGCGAACAAGUACCGUGAGGGAAAGAUGAAAAGAACUUUGAAAAGAGAGUUAAACAGUACGUGAAAUUGUCAAAAGGGAAGCGUUUGACACCAGUGUUGUUUUCUCGAAAAUCAAUUAAAAAAGGCAGGAUUUUGUGUUGUAUUGACUUUAUCAGCUUUCUGCACUCUUUUCUUGUCUUUUUUAAUGCACUUUUCGUUUAACAAGUCAACAUCAGUUUCCUUUGUUGUAAAAAGGGUCAUUGGAAGGUGGCUUUCUUUUCGGAGAAAGUGUUUAUAGCCUUUGGCCUCUGCAAUCGGAGAGAUUGAGGUCUGCAGCGUAGAUCCUUCGGGGUUAGAUACAUUUGUGCUAAGUUAUAGCCUUUCAUAGACAACUUGUUGACUAUGAUCAGUCAUGUAGCUUACUCACUUAUGCUAUUUUACCUACGCUUAGGAUGUUGAUGUGAUACUGCGAGC
rnacentral:rRNA from 1 species